rnacentral:rRNA from 1 species
GACGAACGCUGGCGGAGUGCUUAACACAUGCAAGUCGAGCGGAGCGGCGAACGGGUGAGUAACGCCUGAGUAACUGCCCCCCUCUCUGGGAUAACAGUUGGAAACGGCUGCUCAUACCGGAUAGUUGGGGAUGACGCGCGUCCUAUCAGCUUGUUGGUGGGGUAGUGUCCCACCAAGGCGACGACGGGUGUCCGGACUGAGAGGGCGACCGGCCAAAUUGGGCUUAGAUACAGCCCAAACUCCUACGGGAGGCAGAAGUGGGGAAUAUUGCACAAUGGGGGAAACCCUGAUGCAGCAACGCGCGUGCGGGAUGACGGCCUUCGGGUUGUAAACCGCUUUCAGCCAUGACGCGGUUGUGGCAGAAGAAGCACCGGCUAACUACGUGCCAGCCGCCGCGGUAAUAC